UUGCGCAAGUGAUGUUUUCGUCAGCAAUCUUAGCAAUCAUGUGCCGGCGCCUUCGACGUAUUCUUUUAACCAGAAUCACUACCCGGACACGAGUCCACUGCAACCAGACCCAAGCAGGCAGGUUGCGGCCACCACCCCCACAGGGGAUGUGCUGGCCCCCGGGUUGCACACUGCCCAGAAGGCGGCGUGAGGUGAGCCGGCGCCACAAGCGUCGAGCCGGACAGAAGAUACUCAAGGGAGGCCGACGGGCCUCCCU
rnacentral:sRNA from 1 species